GUUUCCGUUUGGAGACAUCCAAUAAAAUUGAAACAAUACAAAGAUGAUUAGCAUGACCCUUCUGUAAGGUUGAGAUACAUAAAUUGAGAUUUGGUCCAUUUUUUU